GUACUCACUUCAGCAGCACAUGUACUAAAAUUGGAAUGAUACAGAGAAAAUUAGCAUGGCCCCUGUGCAAGGAUGACACGCAAAUUUGUGAAGUGUUCUAUAUUUAA
ensembl:snRNA U6 U6 spliceosomal RNA